GCCGGGGUGGCGGAAUGGCAGACGCACUUGACUCAAAAUCAAGCGGUUAACACCAUAUGGGUUCAAGUCCCAUCCUCGGUACCA
rnacentral:tRNA from 1 species